GCAGGUACAGCUCAGUGGUAGAGCACGUGCUUAGCAUGCACAAGGUCCUGGGUUCAAUCCCCAGGACCCCCA
rnacentral:tRNA from 1 species